CCAGCAAGCCACAGUCUGCAGAGUCAGCCCUCUCACCAGAUUUCCUGGGGCUCAGGGAUUCUGUCCCCUUCUUCCCAGCCCCUUGAGAGUGUGUGGCAGCGCUGGCAGCUCUGAGUGCCUGUUGAUCUCUCUGCUGGCAGCCAGGUGCGCCUGCGUCCACCUCCUCUCCUCGGCUUCUGCUGAAACGACUUCACUUUCUCAUGUUUCCUCCCACCUCCCUUUCUCUCCAGAGGCCAUUAACUGUUUGAUGCGAGCAAUCGAGAUCUACACAGACAUGGGCCGAUUCACGAUUGCGGCCAAGCACCACAUCUCCAUUGCUGAGAUCUAUGAGACGGAGUUGGUGGACAUUGAGAAGGCCAUCGCCCACUACGAGCAGUCCGCAGACUACUACAAAGGCGAAGAGUCCAACAGGUAGCCCCCUUCCUGCCU
rnacentral:sRNA from 1 species